ensembl:lncRNA
UGACGGAAAAUGUUAUAGUUGGGUAUGGAAAUCUCAGAAUUUUUGGUGGCCUUCCUGAGCCAGGAUUCAGACACGGCAAUGACAUCAGGGUUAGCAGUGAGUAAAACAAACUUAGGGAGGAGACUUCUGAUGUUGACAUGCAUGAAACCAAGGCUUUUUCGAUCACAGAAGUCAACAAAUGAGGGUGCCUGGGGACAUGCAGGGCCUGGGUUUACCUCCACAUCACCCGCGGAACAGAGGAGGAGUAGAAUGAGGGUGCGGCUAAAGGCUAUCAAAACUGGUCGCCUAGAGCGUUGGGACAGAGAAUAAAAGGAGCAGAUUUUUGGGCAUGGUAGAAUAUAUUCAGGGCAUAAUGUGCAGACAGGGGUAUGGUGGGGUGCGGGUACAGCGGAGGUAAUCCCAGGUACUGGGUGAUGAUGAGAGAGGUUGUAUCACUGGACAUGCUGGUUGUAAUGGGUGAGGUCACCGCAUGUGUGGGAGGUGAGACAAAGGAGGUAUCAGGGGUAUGAAGAGUGGAACUAGGGGCUCCAUUGUGAACUAAAACAAUGAUAACUAACCUGAACAACAGUAUGCAAGGCAUAUUGACAUUUGAGAGAGACAUACAGCGAGGCAUACAGUAAUCACAGGUGUUGAAUUGGGAGAGCUAGCUAAAACAGUAGCUUAAACAGUAGGUGAGACAACAACAGCUAAUCAGCUAGCACAACAACAGCAGGUAAAAUGGCGUUGACUAGGCAGGGAGGGUCAGAUUAACUACACACAGAGCCUGAGUGCGGCUGGGGCCGACAGAUAAAACAUAAACAAGCAGAAUGGAGUACUGUGAUUAAUGGACAGUCCAGCAUGCAUCAGCUAGGUAGCCAAGUGAUCAGUGUCCAGGGGGCAGCGGUGGAUGGGGCAGGAAAGCUGGACUGGCGAGUUUUAUCCAGGUAAAAAAAACUGUCUGGCUGUGCAGAAGGUAAAAGGUAAAAGCCGCUAGCAGUGGCUAACAAUGACUAAAUAGCUUGUAGCUAGUUAGCUAGUUAGCUUCUGGAGGUUCUUGAGUGUGUUCUAAAAAUUAAAAAUAAUAGCGAUUCUGUAUCACAUUGGGUGAGACAGGUUACCGGAAGGUAUAAACAAAUUAAAAAUCGAAAAGAGAUUGAAAGUAAAUAUGGGUCCAGUGAGUGGUUGGGACGCGGCGAUUCAGACGGUUAGCAGGCCUGUGCUAACAAGCUAACAGUUAGUAGGCCGGGGCUAAACAAGGUAGCAGUUAGCGGACCGGGGCUAAACAAGCUAGCAGUUAGCAGGCCGAAUUUGCAAGCAAGGAGAUAGCAAGGGCUAGAAAGUUAGCCUUUGGGGGACGUCGCGAUGGUGUGAGUCUGUUUAUGCCUCUUCAUGCGGUGACAUCGAUAGACCGGUCGUGGGUCCGGAUAUUGUAGCACAAGAGUAUGCUUCGGUGGUAGCACAAGAGCUGGCCGGGCUAGCUUCAAGUUAAGUGUGUGGAAACUCUAGCCAGGAGUAAUCAUCCGGGGUUGUGGUUAGCUAGUUAGCUAGUUGUGAAGAUCCAGCUGAAAAUGUUCCGUUUGUGGUGGGAAUCCGGUGGGAAUCCGGGGGUAAAAAAAAAAAGAAUAAUAGGUCCGUUAUGCUCUGGUUAGAGUCACGUUGUUCGAACUGGCGAGAGCUUUCCGAGCUAAAGGUUAGCUGAUGACCGGUUAGCUGAAGACCGCUAGCAAUGGUUUGCUGACUGAUAGCUGGUAGUUAGCUGGCUAGCUUUAGUUGAGGGGUUCCAGAUCCGAAGUAAAUAUAAAUACUUUAGAAAAAAGCAGAUCCGCGCUACAUUGGGUGAGGCGGGUUGCAGGAGAGUAUUUAGAAGUUGAGGUUUAGCAAAAUGUUUUAAAAGAUAUGCGAAGAAAAAUAUGUAAAAAAAAAAAAAAAACGAUAUAUACAAGGGACACGACACAACAAGACGUCUGACUGGUACGCCAUCUUGGAUAAUCAACUAUCAACAUUGUAAACAGUGUCAGAGGCAUGUGGUGGCUUGGGGAAUAGGGACUUAAGGAGGCGCUACUAAUCCUGUUGAAGUAGGCUAAUUAGAGCACAUGACUUUACACUCACAUGGAGAGAGAGAGCCUUCAGAUUACACAGAUCCACAAAGAAUUCGAAAACAACCCGGAUUUGGAUCAACUCCCAUAUCUACUGGGUGAAAUACCACAGAGUGCCAUCACAGCAGCAAGAUUUGUGACCUGUUGCCACAAGAAAAGGUCAACCAGUGAAGAACAAACACCAUUGUAAAUACAACCCAUAUUUAUGCUUAUUUAUUUUCUGUUUUGUACUUUAAGCAUUUGUACAUCAUUACAACACUGUAUACAGUUGAAGUCGGAAGUUUAC